CUGUCGUCAGCUCGUGUUGUGAAAUGUUGGGUUAAGUCCCGCAACGAGCGCAACCCUUAUCCUUUGUUGCCAGCGGUUAGGCCGGGAACUCAAAGGAGACUGCCAGUGAUAAACUGGAGGAAGGUGGGGAUGACGUCAAGUCAUCAUGGCCCUUACGAGUAGGGCUACACACGUGCUACAAUGGCGCAUACAAAGAGAAGCGACCUCGCGAGAGCAAGCGGACCUCAUAAAGUGCGUCGUAGUCCGGAUUGGAGUCUGCAACUCGACUCCAUGAAGUCGGAAUCGCUAGUAAUCGUAGAUCAGAAUGCUACGGUGAAUACGUUCCCGGGCCUUGUACACACCGCCCGUCACACCAUGGGAGUGGGUUGCAAAAGAAGUAGGUAGCUUAACCUUCGGGAGGGCGCUUACCACUUUGUGAUUCAUGACUGGGGUGAAGUCGUAACAAGGUAACCGUAGGGGAACCUGCGGUUGGAUCACCUCCUUA
rnacentral:rRNA from 1 species